CUUGCGUGCCAUUAACCUCUAUGGUGGGCACCUUGCGCAUGCGCCCCACACACUCCCGUGGAUGCAUGGCGCGUGUGCCCAUGGCCGUGUUGCAUUUGUGUGCAUGGAGGCUCGCAUGGUGCAUGCUAACUGGGCAUGGGGGCAUGCAUGGUGGUGGGCACUGAAGAGUUUCAAUAACCUUUAAAGUAUUUUUGCCAUGCACCAUAAGCAUUUGUGUGCAAGCCUCGGCCAUGGGCCUUGACUUGCACACGAGUACCCUAUCAUGUACUUGGGCAUUCAAAGAUUGUUUGCUUCAACUUUUUUUCUGGUCCAAGGCCAACCCCUCAUUAAUGCAAUGUGAUAAAGUGAAAAAAUUUAACCAAGCAUGAGUAAACGGCGGGUGUAACGAUGACUCUCUUAAGGUAGCCAAAUGCCUCAUCAUCUAAUCAGUGACGUGCAUGAAGGGAUUAACGAGAUUCCCACUAUCCCUGUCUACUAUCCUACAAAACAACAACCAAGGGAAUAGACUUGGUAGAAUCAACAGGGAAAGAAGACCCUAUUGAGCUUGACUCUAGUCUGACUUUGUGAAAUGACUUAAGAGGUGUAGCAUAAGUGGGAGCAGAAAGGCAAAAGUGAAAUACCAUUACUUUUAAUGUUAUUUUACUUAUUCCGUGAAACUGAAGCGAGGCACUGCCCCUCUUUUUGGACAUAAGGCAGGUGGGGAGUUUGGCUAGGGCGGUACAUCGGUUAAAAGAUAACGUAGGUGUCCUAAGAUGAGCUUAAGGAGAACAAAAAUCUCAUGUGGAAUAAAAAGGUAAAAGCUCGUUUGACUCUGAUUUCUAAUAUGAAUACGAACUAUGAAAUCAUGGCAUAUCGAUCCCUUAGACUGUUGAAAUUUGAAGCUAGAGAUGUUAGAAAAGUUACCAUUGGGAUAACUGGCUUGUGGCAGCCAAGCGUUCAUAGCAACCUUGCUUUUUUAUCCUUCGAUGUCGUCUCUUCCUCUCAUUGUGAAGCAAAAUUCACCAAGUUUUGGAUUGUUCGCUGACCAUUAGGGAACGUGAGCUGGGUUUAGACCGUCAUGAGAUACGUUAGUUUUACCCUACUAAUGACUGUGUUGCAAUAGUAAUACAAUCCAAAACGACCAUUCUGCGCUAACGUGCAAUCUAAAAACGACCGAAAAGAUGCCCAAUGCUUCCAACAAGUGGCAAACGCUUGUCUAGAGUCAAGAACCACUAAAAAUGCACUUUCAGCAAAGAGAAUAGGCUAAGCUCAAGAUCUUCUAGUGUUCGUUUGAAGAAAAUAUGAACGAGAGUGCCCCCAGACUUGGUUUUUUCAU
rnacentral:ncRNA from 1 species